rnacentral:lncRNA from 1 species
GCUUCUCGCUGGUGAUUGAGGGAGAUGCUGUCCAAUUCCAAAAGCCUGCACUGGCUUGGACACAGCACUGCUAAUAAAGCCGCUUCUUACUGUUCGGCCAUUCCUUACUUUACCUCAUUUGGUUAAACCACAAGCUCAGUGCUUGGAACUUCCGUUUUCUUAUCUUGAACAUCGCGUACUGUUCCAGCUCACAGCCAGCCACCCAGGAAGGAAGCGUUUUGUUCCUUUUAGACAGAGGCCCUGGCCGGCCACAUGGCCACGCUGUUGAAAAGCUCUAAAUUUUCCGACGAGCUCUGGGACCCUUAGCAGGGGAGACUGGAAACAGACAAGCUGGACCUCUGCCUGUAUGGCGAUUUCUGAGAUGCUAAGAAGUCCUCAAUUUCUUCUCCUUUGAUAGACUACCCAAUAUUUGAGCUGCUACCGUUAUGAGUUUCACGCGUAUUUUAUGAGUUAAAAGAAGAAAGCAGGACCAUUUUGGGUACGGGCCGAGGCAAGAGUUCCUGUUGCUUUGGAUUCUGACUUCUGGGUCUGAAUUGAGGGCAGACUGUCGCUGAGCCAUCUGUGCCAAUCUUCCUCUACUUCUAUAUGGGACCCUGUCACAGCAUGGUUUAAUGAGCGGUGUCUACGUCUGCGCCCAGGAUCCGAACGGGUGAACCCCAGGCUGCCAAAGUGGAGCACGUGAACUUAACCACUGUGUCACCAGAUCAGCCCCUCUAAAACAAAAUUUUGAAGUGUGCCCUUUAAAUUUUAAAGGGUGAUGUGAGUUCAAAUCUUAACUCUCCCUCUUUAGCCUUAGAGUUGCGCUCUGUAAAAUGGGAAUAAUAAUGCAAUCUGCCUCAUUGACUUUUUUUUUAAAGGAUUAAAUAAGAUAGUGCACAUCAAGCACUUACUGUCAUGCCUGGC